GUGAACGCUGGCGGUAGGCCUAACACAUGCAAGUCGAACGGCAGCACAGAGGAGCUUGCUCCUUGGGUGGCGAGUGGCGGACGGGUGAGGAAUACAUCGGAAUCUACUCUUUCGUGUGGGAUAACGUAGGGAAACUUACGCUAAUACCGCAUACGACCUUCGGGUGAAAGCAGGGCAUCGCCAGACCUUGCGCGAUUGAAUGAGCCGAUGUCGGAUUAGCUAGUUGGCGGGGUAAAGGCCCACCAAGGCGACGAUCCGUAGCUGGUCUGAGAGGAUGAUCAGCCACACUGGAACUGAGACACGGUCCAGACUCCUACGGGAGGCAGCAGUGGGGAAUAUUGGACAAUGGGCGCAAGCCUGAUCCAGCCAUACCGCGUGGGUGAAGAAGGCCUUCGGGUUGUAAAGCCCUUUUGUUGGGAAAGAAAAGCACACGGUUAAUACCCGAGUGUUCUGACGGUACCCAAAGAAUAAGCACCGGCUAACUUCGUGCCAGCAGCCGCGGUAA
rnacentral:rRNA from 1 species